rnacentral:lncRNA from 9 species
GACACGUGAUGGAGAGAACACUCAUACGCAACACGGCUAAGUCCUGUCAAUCAAGAUUUCAUCUCCCCCACUGGCCUGGCAAUGGGGACAGAGAAGCAGGAAGGGGGCGCGAGCGCCGGAGAGGUGCUCGCGGCCCGGGACCGCGGGCACCCCCGGCCAAGGUCUGCCAAGCCCGGCAAGUGAGCCGUCGGCAGGAUGGAGAGCAGAUAAUUGGGCCAGAGGGAGGGGUGCAGAACCUGGAUCCUGGAGACAGUUGGCGAAUACAUGUGUGUGUCUUGCUGAGGAAGGACCAGCAGAAGGGAAGACUGGAAAUCUGGCCUUUUUUGGUUCGCCUUUGUCACUGACGCACUGGGCGCAGUGAAGGAAUUACCGUUUAUUCAGAGGCUGACAUGCUGCUGAUUGAGGUACAGAGAAGAGCAAUCAAGGUUGGUUUUUUUUUUUUUUUUUUUCAUGUAGCUUUUGACAUGUACAAAGAAAAUGAUUUCAAGGGGUACACACUAGAAAGAAACAAACUGUAAAUAGUUGCCAGUCAGCUACUCGGAUUACUCGGAGUAAUUACUCAAAUACUCGGAUUACUACAAGUAUUUUGCCACUCUCACUCUUACCACUCCUCCCCCAUAAUCAGCAUCUAAAUGCAACAGGAAUUAUUCUUUUGUUCAUGACUGUGUGGGUGGGGAAGCAAAAGGUCAGACUUCAUGGCAUCUCGUGUUCAGGGACCCUAGGACCUGGGCUUGGAUAACCUGACAGCCCCAGACACCCUCCCUGACACAGGCAGGGAGGCAGCCUCACAGGAAAUGAGCAGAAGCCUUCAUCUCC